CAGCAGCCGCGGUAAUACGUAGGGUGCAAGCGUUGUCCGGAAUUAUUGGGCGUAAAGAGCUCGUAGGCGGUUUGUUGCGUCGGCUGUGAAAUCCCGAGGCUCAACCUCGGGUCUGCAGUCGAUACGAGCAAACUAGAGUGUUGCAGGGGAGACUGGAAUUCCUGGUGUAGCGGUGAAAUGCGCAGAUAUCAGGAGGAACACCGGUGGCGAAGGCGGGUCUCUGGGCAACAACUGACGCUGAGGAGCGAAAGCGUGGGGAGCGAACAGGAUUAGAUACCCUGGUAGUCCACGCCGUAAACGAUGGGCACUAGGUGUGGGGGGUGUCGACUCCCUCCGUGCCGAAGCUAACGCAUUAAGUGCCCCGCCUGGGGAGUACGGCCGCAAGGCUAAAACUCAAAGGAAUUGACGG
rnacentral:rRNA from 1 species